UUUCCGUAGGUGAACCUGCGGAAGGAUCAUUAUUGUAUAACCGAGGUGCGAGGGCUGUCGCUGACCCGAAAGGUCGUGCACGCCCGAGUGCCCUGACACACAUCCAUCUCACCCCUAUGUGCACCACCGCGUGGGUCCCCAUUUGGCUUGUUCGGAGGGGGGCUUACGUUUUCACACAAACUUUGUAUGCAGUGUAGAAUGUAUUUUUUGUUUUUGCGAUCACGCAAUCAAUACAACUUUCAACAACGGAUCUCUUGGCUCUC
rnacentral:misc_RNA from 1 species